UCCGAGUUGUCCCCGGCAGUCUCCUACGAGUCCCCACCAUCACGUGCUGGCAACAUAGAAUAAGGGUUGCGCUCGUUGCGGGACUUAACCCAACAUUUCACAACACGAGCUGACGACAGCCAUGCACCACCUGUGCUACACCCUCGAAGGCGACUGCUUUUCGGCAGCUUGCAGUAGCAUGUCAAGCCCUGGUAAGGUUCUUCGCGUUGCAUCGAAUUAAGCCACAUGCUCCACCGCUUGUGCGGGCCCCCGCCAAUUCCUUUGAGUUUCAACCUUGCGGCCGUAGUCCCCAGGCGGGGUGCUUAAUGCGUUAGCGUCGGCACAGAGCGGGUCAAUCGCCGCCCCACACCUAGCACCCAUCGUUUACGGCUAGGACUAC
rnacentral:misc_RNA from 1 species